CAGUCUAAAGCUGCUUUCCACAGUCUGCAGGUGGAGGCGGGCUGCAGGCUGGUGGCAGAGGCAGGUAGGUGGAGGGUCAGUCAAAGCUGCUUGCCAGAGGCAGUAGGUGGAGGCAUGCUUCAGGCUGGUGGAAGAGGCUGUUAGAUGGAGGGUCACUCAAAGCUUCUAGCCACAGUCUGCAGAUGGAGGUGGGCUGCAGGCUGUUGGCAAAGGCAGGUUGGUGGAGUUUCAGGGUACAGCUGUUUGCCACAGUCUGCAGGUGGAGGCGGGCUGCAGGCUGGUGGCAGAGGCAGGUAGGUGGAGGGUCAGUCAAAGCUGCUUGCCAGAGGCAGUAGGUGGAGGCAUGCUUCAGGCUGGUGGAAGAGGCUGUUAGAUGGAGGGUCACUCAAAGCUUCUAGCCACAGUCUGCAGAUGGAGGUGGGCUGCAGGCUGUUGGCAAAGGCAGGUUGGUGGAGUUUCAGGGUACAGCUGUUUGCCACAGUCUGCAGGUGGAGGCGGGCUGCAGUCUGGUGGAAGAGGCUGGCAGGUGGAGGGUCAGGGUACAGGUGCUUGCCACAGUCUGCAGGUGGAGGUGGGCUGCAGGCUAGUGCCAGAUGCUGGCACGUGGAGGGUUAGGGUACAGCUGCAGGCUGGUGUCAAAGGCUGGUAGGUGGAGGGUCAGUCAAAGCUUCGUGCCAGAGUCGGCAGCUGGAGACAGCCUUAUGGCUGGAGGCAGAGUCUGGCAAGUGGAGGGACAGGCUACAGUUGACUGCCAGAGUCUGCAGGUGGAGGUGGGCUGCAUGCUGUUGGCAGAGGCUGGUAGAUGGAGGGUCAGGCUACAGCCUGCUGCCAGAAU